AGAUUUUUAUUUUGAGUGUUAAACUCUAAAUGAAAGAUUUGGUUUAUAUAAAAAAAGCUUGGAUUUCGUAGAUCAAGUGUCGACACCUUGUUGUUUUCAAGUGUCAACACCUGACGAAGAAAUUUGACUAUUGGUCCCAGGUAUCGACAUUUGAAACUCAGGUGUCGAUACUUUUGAAUAGUAAACUUAAAAUUUUGACUUCUAACCUCAGGUGUCGACACUUUUGAAUAGUAAUAAACAAUUGAGUUUUUCUAGUUUACCUUGAGUAUGAUGAUAUUUUGUAUAAUAUAUUGUUGCAUUGAAAUUUUUGAUAAAUAUAACAUGUGCGUAUGCGGGAUUUGAAUAAUGUGAUUUUUGUGUGUACUUAAAACUUUAGGUUGACAUUUAUAUUAUUGAGUAUGAUAAUUGUUCAGAACAAAAAUAUGAGAAAUGAUGCAAUAAUAAUUAUUCUUAUUGACGAUUUUAAAUGCUGUAGAGUAUGUUGUUGCCUUAAAGUUUGGAUAUAAACAUGAAAGUAUGAGUGAACUUGUGAAAAAUAUAAAGCUUAUAGGUGCAUGGAGAUUUAAAAUAGUUUGGAAUGAUACGGUAGGAUUGUGUAACCGAAAAAAUAGAUGACAAACGAGACGGAAGAAAGAAAAGAAGAAAGAAAUGUCAAGCUCACGAUGAAAGCCCAGGAAGUUGACAAAUAAAGUUCUAGAUCGCAACGUACAGAGGGAAUGUCAUAGUGAAAGCCCGAACAGUUGAUAAAAUAAAAGUCCUAGAUGUCAACAAUAAGGAGGAAUGAGGGUAAUGUUCAUAACCCACGAUGAAAGCCCGCGAAGUUUAACGAAUGUUAUCUCAUGUACUUAGUUGCAUAAUGAGGUUGGUUUUAUUAACCUAAGAAUUAAUUGAAUUUUUUGAGAAGACUCGGUAACACGGGAAAAAUGUUGGAUUGAAAAAUCAUGGAUUUGAAUCAAAAGUAUAUUUUGAUUAGAAUGAAAAUAUAUUUGUUGCAUCAUUAUUUUUAUUGUAAGCCUAAUAAAUCACAGUUUUGGCUUGAGACAUAAAGUCUAUUGUUAAAAUCCUUUUUUCAAGGUAAACUCACCUUUAAUAUCCAAUAAAUUUUAGAUACGAGGGUAUUUGAGUCGAGGCAUGUGGAUUGUCGUUAUGUUUAUUUUAUUUUGGCAAAUUGUAAAUGUAUUUGGGAAGUUGUAAUUAUUUUUGGCCGGGUGUGGACAUUGAUCCAUGAAAUAUCAUCUCGUUGUAUUGAUCGUUUAUGGAGGCAUGUCUACGGUAGGAGUAGAGUCUACUCUGAUGUAAUAACAGUGUAUUGCCAUGUUAUUUAGUUUGACUUUUUCAUAUUUGAGUUAUUUGCUUAUGUGGUCGGAUCUGGGUUUGACCGGGGCAUGACAUGUAGCACGAGGGUAUAGUCAAGAAGAAGGAAUAUAAUUUGAUAAAUCAUUUACUCCCGUAGCUAAAUUAGAAGGUAUAUGAAUGCUACUUGCGUUUGCAUGCUAUAUCAACUUCAAACUAUACCAAAUGGAUAUAAAUAUGCAUUUUUAAAUGUAUACAUUACUAAGAAGGUAUCUGUUGCAUAACUUCCAGGCUUUGAGAAUCAUGAAUUUCCGAACCACGUAUAUAAGCUUUUAAAAGCACUCUAUGAAUUAAAGAAAACUCCAAGAGCUUGGUGUGAAAGACUAAGUGAGUUUUUAAAUGAAAAUGACUUUAUUCAAGAAAAAAAAAUUACACCUUAUUCGUAAAAAUUAAAAAUAAAGACAUACUUAUUGUGCAAAUAUAUGUAGAGGACAUUAUAUUUGGUGCUACUAAUGAUAUUAUGUGCAAGGAUUUUACUAAGUGUGUGCGAGUUCAACUUCUUCCUUAGACUACAAAUCAAGUAAUCAAGUGAGAUAAAUUAUACAAACCAACCAAAAUAUAUAAAUGAGUUGAUCAAAUGUUUCAGCAUGAUGAGAGCCAUUAGCUACCCCGAUGAGCACAUCUAUAAAGCUUGACAAGACAACAACGCUAAAAAUGUAGAUGAAAAAAUCUAUUGAGGUAUCAUUGGAUCUCUACUCUAUUUAACUGAAAGUAGACCCGAUAUCAUGCUUAGUGUAUGCAUAUGUGCUAGAUUUCAAUCAUGCCCUAAAGAAUCACAUCUAUUGGCCAUAAAAUGCAUAUUUAAAUAUGUUAUAGAUAUGCAAAAUCUAGGUAUAUUUUAUCUAAGAGGAGUUGCCUUUGAUUUAAAAGGAUAAUUAGUACAGACUAUGCGGUAUGCAAAGUAGAACAAAAAAGCACAAAUGGUACUUUUUAAUUUCUAGGACAAUCCCUAGUUUCUUGAUUUAGCAAGAAACAAAAUUCCAUCACACUAUUAACCGCCAAUGCUGAAUAUGUGGCCGCCAAAAGUUGUUGUGCUCAAAUGCUUUAGAUAAAACAAUAAAUGGGGGAAUAUAAUUUAUAUUUUGAUUAUAUUUCAAUCAAUUGUGAUGAUACAAGUGCUAUAAUGUUGUCUAAGAAUCCCAUAUAACAUUCUAGAACAAAGCACAAUGAGAUUCGAUAUCAUUUUCUAAGAGAUCACAUCCAAAAAAGGAAUAUUGAACUUAUAUAUAUGCACACCGAUAAGCAAUAGGCAGAUAUUUUUAUAAAAUCACUUGAUAAGAAAGAUUUUAUUUCAUGAGACGUGAACUUAAUAUGUCUCAACCAAUGUGAAUAUAUUUUGAUUUCUUAAUUAAAUUCAUAAUACUUGAGUUAGUAGGAAUUGAGAAAGAAUAGUUUAAAUCAAAAUUUAUUCUAUAUGAAUAAAUUUAAUUGAUCUAAUAUAAGUUUAUUGAUCGACAAAAAUGUGCAUAGAAGUCUCAAAUUUUGAGAUACAUGAAAUUGAUUCAUAGAAUUAUAUUUUAUAGUUGUUUUAUGUAAGUGUGACUUGUGUGAAGAAAAAAAAUGAGCAGUAAGAUCAAACUUAAGUCAAAAUUCCUUACUGUCAAAUUUUGCAGAUAUAGUAGGAACUUCAUUUGAUCGAACUUGAAGUUUGGUUGAUCGAAGUUGCUAAAUUAAAAGGUCAUGUAUACAUUAAAAAGAACAUUAAUUGAGUCCUAGAAAACCUAUUUCUCUUAAAUACUAAUAUCUUAUAAACACUUAUCUAUUACUCUCUCUCUUUACCUCACUAAAGAAAACACAACCCAUACAAUUCUCUCAAAAUGUUUCAUCAAAUUAGUGUUCUUCAACUUCCAAUUUUCCUGAUUCACUCAACCUCUUGGAAGUUCGAUCGACAAAUCGCAAAAAUAUUGUUGACCGAAUUCACAACUUUGAUCUACUGAAGUAGCAGAAACUACGGGAUAAGAGGGAGGGAUAGAGUUUCAAAUGUUUUCAAGCUUCAAUUUCUUACCCUUUUUAGCUUCUAUCAGAUUCCUCGAGGACAUCUAUCUCUUUUAUCUCAUUAUAAAUAAACCCUAUACCUAUUCCUUAUCAUCAUAUCAAAAUCUCUCAAACCCUAGAUCAAAAGUCUAUGAUUUUUCAGACCAUGAUGCAUCCGAGAACCAAGCACGCAUCGAACGAUCCAAGAGGUGAGAAUACCAAUCCUAAACCUCAAAUGGAGUUCAAACCACAACUAUUCAAGAACAGGAAAAUCCAAAAGACAUGGCUAUCCGAGUUCAAAGAAAGGCCAAUCAUCACGGGAAGGAAAUUUAAGAAAAAUUUCCCACUCAAGUACUACAAGAAAAUGUUGGUGCCAUUGGAACCUCUUGGAUGGAAUGGAUGGCAUCCUCUUCCAACGGACAUGUACUCAAACUUGGUAAGGGUUUUCUACUGCAACUGAGAAGUAGGAAACCUAGAUAAUAUUGUGUACACAAUUGACUCAAAUGUUAGAGGGAAAUAUAUAGUCCUCAAUCCCACGAUCUUAUCUAAGAUCACAGGGAUUGUUAAUGCUAGGGACUACAUCUUUUUCAACAAGUCAAGCCAACUUGAUCAAUAUGUGAGUUAAAAACAUAUGAAUAAAAUGAUCUCCAUAAAUGGAAUAUUAAAAGCCACACAAACCAAGGAUAUGAUAAAGGAAUUCAGACUAUUCCAUACAUCACUUACAAUAUAAUUUCUAAGAAGAGACAUUAUAAUCAAGUGACAACUACGAUAGAAGAGCCUCAUAAUCUAAACUAUAUAAUUCUAAAUGAGAUUGCUAAUAUGAGAAACCAUAGUAGUCGAGCCCUACAUUUUGGUGCUCUCUUGACUAAAAUUUUCAAACACUUUAGAGUCAAGUUUAACAACCAAAUCAAUCAAUAUAUAGGUGGACGUUUUCCUAAACAAAUGAUAAAAAGAGAGACAAGUGUGUUCUCCUCCGAUAAGGAAGAAGAAGAAAGAAGUCACAGUGAUAUGGAGGUUGCAGGAAACUUUGAGGAUCUUCCCCCACAAACCGAGGAAACUUAUGAGGAACUAAGCACUCAAGUGUUCCAACUCCAAAUACAAGAAAAGGAAACGAUGCAGUGGGAGAAUCUUAUGCAAGAAAGGCUUUCAUCGCAAUACGUGCAUUCGACAUGAUUCUUGGAGUACUUUGGAAAGCUCAAUGCCAUAAUGAAACGCGUGGAGCAGCGCCAAGAGAAGUAAGUAGAAUAUUUUGAGCAAAUAGAGUAACGCCAAGAGAAGAAGGAAAGAUACAUUGAGAGGCUCGGUGACUUGUACGAGAACUUGUAUGAGCAGCAAAUCAACUUCAAUAAGCAAUACAACGAUAGGAUGACCAACAUGGAAACUCAGCUUUAGUAUCUCUAGUUCACAACUCAUCCUCCAGCUGAUUUUCCUCUUCCUCCUCCUCCUACACCAUUCGAUGCCCCUAGCUCUUCAUACCGGCCUUCUUGACCUGGACCUAUUGAUGAUUCCCUGAAGGGGGAGAAGAUUUUAGUUUUUUGAUUUAAUUUUUUUAAACAAAUUUCUGAUCAUUUAAAAUUUUUGUUUUAAAAGAAUGUGGUUUGUUUUUUAAUCUAUCUUAGUGUUUGAUAUGCUCCUUUUACAUGCCAUGUUGCUGUGAGUGUGGAUACAUAUGCCAUGUUGCCAUUCUUCUUAAUAUGCUUACUAAGUAUCCCUUGAUUCUAUGUUUAUAUAAUAAGCUUAAAAUAUUAAAACAUAAGAACAAGUUAAACAAGCACAAAGAUAGGGGAUGUUUGAAUAAAGGGGAGCAUGUAAAUUUUAAAACAAGAAUAUGAUUUUCAAAAAUAGUUGUGUCAUCAUAAAAAAUGGGGAGCUUGUUGAAAUAAAGGUUUAUUUGAGUUUUGAUGAUUACAAAUGUUUAACAAUAAGUCAAGUCUAAAAAUCACAUUAAACAACUUAGAAAUACAAGGACCAAAAAUAGUGGUCUUGAAAACAAUCCUACAUAUGAAUAAAAAAAGAUGUUAAGCUCUUUACAAGUCACGUUAAAUAUCAUUGUGCAUAUAAAAGAGGUAGAAAAGAUAAACCAACUCUUAAACUCAAAAUGGAUAGUUAACAAACUUAACUGAUAAAAAGACAAAACACAAAUUGCUACUGUCACAAGUUCGGACCGAACUUGUAUACCGAAGGUUAAAUGAAGCACAAUUGAACUUCAUCAAGUCAUCUAUUAACAGAUAUGAUCACUAGAAAAUCGUUAAACUACGACCGAAGUUCACAUUCAGUCAACCGAAGGCAAAAGAUGCACAACCAAUGUUGAAAUAGAGAACAAGGAUACUCACUGGGAUAACAGUUAAGACACGACUAUAGUUUACAUUCGGUCGACCGAAGUGUCGUCCAAAGUAUGUAAAGCCAAAAUAGAGCAACAUAAGUGAUCUCUAUAAUUACAGAAUAAUGUCGAUGAAAAUAAAAAAGCCCUCGAUCAAAGUUUUAAAUUCAUCAGCCAACAGAGUAUGCAAGUCACUGAAAUUUUAGUUCAAACUCGAUCAAAGUUCAAGUCAGUCGACUAAAGUUUUUGAUCGAAAUUUGAAAAGUUGAUCCUACAAUCCAAAUCAACAUCCAACAACUAAGACUCAAUUAGAACGGCUAGAUUAAAAGCAUUUUUGCUGCAAUAACUAUAAUCGACUUUUGACGAGGGGGGGGGGGAGGAGUGGGUGGGUUGGAGAGGGAGGGAAGGGAAAGAAGUGAAUAAGAUAUAAAGGAGGGGGAAGGAGUCGGGGGGGGGGUGGGGAGAGAAUUACUAAGGGAGGGAGAGGGGUUAUAAAUACAAUUUUGGGUUUGUUUGAAAGGUAUUGAAGUUUUUAACUUUCUACAAUCACUUGUAUUCAAUAUUCCUAAACAAACCUAUUUUAUCUCUUCAUAAUUUGCUUUGUAGUUAACAGUAAAUAUGAUCAAACCGCAUUAAUUUCUUUAAAUUCUUUCUUAUUAUUCUAUUUCUCUUUUCGAUUUUUCUGUAUCUAAAAUCAACAUGAUGACCAUGUUGUUUACUUGUCUAUUAACAAAUUUCUAUAAGAUGUCUUUGAAUGUACAAAAGAUCGUGAGUCACCAAUAGCCAACAGGUCAAAACCUAAACUUUCCAAUCUCAUUAAUAAAUAAAUAAGCAUGUUCUUAUAUAUUCGACACAACUUGUUUGCAGUGCAAUUCCAGAAUCUUGGGGUCUAUUUUGAACCCAUUUUGAUAAUUUAAAUUGUUCAUGUAAUAGAUUUUAUCGUAAAAAUUAAUAUUAUAAAAAAUUAUAUUAAUCAGAUACACAUUAAUAUACAUUUAGUACUAUUUUAUAACUUAAUAAAGUCAAAAAAUUCAAUUAUAAAGUCUAAUCUUUUAUAUUGUAAACCUCAUGAGCAGUUUUAAUAAAUUAAAAAAUGUCAAUACAUCACUACUGCCAUUGUCAACACAUUGUUGUUGGAGAGAUAAAUUUAAUUGUUUAAAAAUUAAAUUUCAUUAAUACCAAGUAUCUCCAUCUGACCACCACCUCCGUCCUCGCCAAUGUUUCUACUAGACAAAUCAACUACAUUUUAAAAAUUCAUUCAAAAAAAUUUUUGCUCAAAAAGUCAUCAUCGGCAACAGGCCAAAAAGUGGCAUCCGGGCACUUUUUGGUAGCCCAAGUUAGUGGUGACGGUGGAAAAUAGUAAAAAAUUAAAAGAAGCGUAGAAAGUAAUAGGAAUAUUUUUUUUUAUUUUAUUAAAAAAGAAUUUUAACUUUAAGAUUUGGUGACAAACGAAUUGUAGCAAGGACUAUGAACCAUCACUUAUGGCUAGAGCUGCUUUUUCAAAAUUGACGAACUCUACUUUCACUUUUUUUCAUGGAUAACAAGUGCGAAUCCAAGUCCACUCAAGCUGGGCUGUAAACAAAUCCAUAGUGACUCGAGACCAAGCCCCACAGUUCCCAAAUCAAAACACUUGGGAUAUUUGAUAACGUUUUUAUUUUUUUUAUUUUUUUUAUUUGUUUAAUUUUUAUUUUAUUUUGUUUAAUUUUUUGUAAAAUAGAAAUUAAAAAUAUUUUUGUGUUCACCUAUUUUUAAACUAUUUAAAAACAAAAUAUGUUUGUGUUAACUUUUUUUAAAACUAUGAAAAAAAAUGUAGAGGGCGUGGUGUGGAGGAAGUGGGUCGGUUGGAGGUGAUGGUGGAGGUGGAGGGGUCUGGUGUUGGAGGUGGAAGGACGGUUGCGUGGUGAUUGGUGGUGGUGGUGGUGGUGGUGGUGGUGGUGGUGGUGGUGGUGGUGGUGGUGGUGGUGGUGGUGGUGGUGGUGGUGGUGGUGGUGGUGGUGGUGGUGGUGGUGGUGGUGGUGGUGGUGGUGGUGGUGGUGGUGGUGGUGGUGGUGGUGGUGGUGGUGGUGGUGGUGGUGGUGGUGGUGGUGGUGGUGGUGGUGGUGGUGGUGGUGGUGGUGGUGGUGGUGGUGGUGGUGGUGGUGGUGGUGGUGGUGGUGGUGGUGGUGGUGGUGGUGGUGGUGGUGGUGGUGGUGGUGGUGGUGGUGGUGGUGGUGGUGGUGGUGGUGGUGGUGGUGGUGGUGGUGGUGGUGGUGGUGGUGGUGGUGGUGGUGGUGGUGGUGGUGGUGGUGGUGGUGGUGGUGGUGGUGGUGUGGUGGAAAAAAUUUAGAUAAAAAAAUUUUGAAUGAAAAAGUUUUAUAAACAAAACAAAAAUAACUUUUUCUUGUUUUUACUAUUUUCAAAAAUAGUGGAAGUUGUUUAGCCUUAUUUUUUCAUUUAUUUUUUUCAACACAAACAAGAUUUUGUUUACGUUUAUUUUCAAAAACAGAAAUUAAACAAAAAAAUAAAAAUUAAACAGUUAACAAACAAGCCCUUAGCUUUGAAAUAUGUUAAAUGAAUUAUUUUUUUCCAUGCUAAAUAGUUUGUGGUUUUGUGGAGGUUGUUGGUGCAUGAGUACGGGUACUUUUUUUGAAGUUGGAAUUUGGACUGCACCAGUUCAAGUUUUUUAAACUUUUAGUCCCUUUGUAUAUUCCAUCUUUAAAAUUUUAGAACUCAGUAACUUUUAACCCAUUAGUAUCCACUAGAAAUAUCAUUUCACUACAAGAAAAGAAAAAGAUUUUUUGCCUCAAGGACGUGCCGCCACAAAUAAUCACCUUUCCGUUGUAAAAAAUUUUUGCCCCGGAGGACUAGGUGGCAAUUGGUGGGUUUGCAAGAGCUUUUUGCGGUGGCAUCAGACCAUGGCAAAUACUGUAGCCACACUUUACAAUCAAUAAUCCUAAGUCAAAAAAUGAGUCACGAUCGACCACUUGAAUGAUAUUGACAGCAUCCUUCAAACCUAAUGGGAAAAUUGUUACUCGAAAACAUAAACCCCUCAUGGCUUAAAAAUUUUCACCAUGGUCUAGUCAAAUCUAUAGUACCAUUAAAAAUGAUUCUGUCAAAUUGAAAUGUUAAAGGAUGCACACAAAUCAUAAUAUUAAGUCUGCCUAGGCGUCAAAAUUGUGGGAAAAACAAAUUUUCACUUGGCUGGUAGUUCAGUAGCUAUUUGGUGAGUUAAAAAGAGGAUAUUCUUAUUCAAGGGAAGAAUAAUGACGGGGGGACAUCCUUUCUCUUCCAGAUCAGAAGAAUAUACAACACAUCUGCAUCUACAUUAUCAAUCUCCUCUCUCUCCCAACUUUAAAAUCUUUCAGAUAUUUCUAAGUAACAUCCCUAAUAAACUUGGCAUUGGUCCAAAGUCGUGCAGCAUUAAAGCCUAUCAUGUCCCUCUCUUCCAUCUUUAAAAUCUUUCAGAUAUUUCAAGAAAACAUCCCUAAUAAACUUGAUAUUGAUCCAAAGUCGUGCAGCAUUAAAGCCUAUCAUGUCCCUCUCUCCCAUCUUCACAAUCUUCCAAAUAUUUCAAGAACAUAUCCCUAAUAAACUUGAUAUGAUCCAAAGUCGUGAAACACCAAAGUCUAUCAUGUCCAUCUCUUCCAUCUUUAAAAUCUUCCAAAUAUUUCAAGAAAACAUCCCUAAUAAUCUUGACAAUGAUCCAAAGUCGUGUAGCAUUCAUACCCCUCUCCCAUCUUUAAAAUCUUCCAAAUAUUUCAAGAAAACAUCCCUAAUAAAUUUGAUAGUGAUCCAAAGUCGUGCAACACUAAAGUCUAUUAUGUCUCUCUCUUCCAUCUCUAAAAUCUUCCAGAUAUUUCGAGGAAACAUCCCCAUAAUCUUGGCAAUGAUCCAAAGUCGUGUAGCAUUCAUACCCCUCUCCCAUCUUUAAAAUAUUUCAAAUAUUUCAAGGAAACAUCCCUAAUAUAGUUGGUAGUGAUCCAAAGUCACGUAGCAUCAAAGCCUAUCAUGUCCCUCUCUCCCAUCUUUAAAAUCUUCAAGACAUUUCAAGGAAAUAUCUCUAAUAAACUUGGCAAUGAUCCAAAGUCGUGUAGCAUUAAAGCCUAUCAUGUCCCUCUCUCCCAUCUUUAAAAUCUUCAAGAUAUUUCAAGGAAACAUCCUUAAUAAACUCGGGAAUGAUCCAAAGUCGUGCAGCAUUAAAGUUUACCAUGUCCCUCUAUUCCAUCUUUAAAAUCUUCCAAAUAUUUCAAGAAAACAUCCCUAAUAUAGUUGGUAGUGAUCCAAAGUCAUGUAGCAUUAAAGCCUAUCCGUCCCUCUCUCCCAUCUUUAAAAUCUUCCAAAUACUUCAAGAAAACAUCCCUAAUAAUCUUGACAAUGAUCCAAAGUCGUGUAGCAUUAAAGCCUAUCAUGUCCCUCUCUCCCAUCUUUAAAAUAUUCAAUAUAUUUCAAGGAAAUAUCUCUAAUAAACUUGGCAAUGAUCCAAAGUUGUGUAGCAUUAAAGUGUAUCAUGUCCCUCUAUUCCAUCUUUAAAAUCUUCAAGAUAUUUCAAGAAAACAUCCCUAGUAUACUUGGCAGUGAUCCAAAGUCGUUUAGCAUUAAAGCCUGUUGAAAUAAAAGUUUAUUUUAUUUUGAUGAUUAAGCUAAGUCAAGUUUAAACACCGAUGAAAAUCGUAUUAAGGAAGAAAAAAUAAACAAACACGUGCUAAACUUAUAUUAGUCACAAACAAAUUUAUUUUAAGAAGAAAAGAACUACAAAGAUUGAUAAAACAACUUAGAAUUCCAAUAACUGAAGUCAACUGGUUUACAUUCGUAAAAGAAACAACAGUGGUAUUGAAAGUAAAGCUAAUCAUGUUUAAAGUGAGAAUUGAAACUCUCUACAAAUCAUAUUCAAUGCUAUCAUUCACGCAAAAAUGGUAGAAAAGCUAAAUAAAAGAUUGAACUCAAAUUGAAUAGUUAACCGCCCAAAUUGAUAAAAAGACAAAGCAUAAACUGCUAUUGUCACAAGUUCAAUCUACCGAAUUAAUUGACCAAAGCUUAAGAGUCUCAACCAAAGUCUGAAGGUUCAAAAUAGUUGCCCAAGUUGCUCACUCAAAAUAUAGUUCAGACAACACCGAAGUUCACAUUAGGUCGACCAAAGUUAAAGAAGGUACAACCAGAAAGUGAAAUAGAGGACAUGCGUGCUCACUAGAAAAACAGGUUUACUACGACCAAAUUUUAUAUUCGGUCGAUCGAAGUUAAGAAAAUCACAGCUGAAUUUAAAACAGAGCAACUAAGUGCUCUCUAGAAUUGAAGAACAACGUCUAUCAAACUUGACAUUCGGUUGACUGAAAGGAAAAAGCCCUCGACUGAAGUUAUAAAUCACUUAGUAGACAGAAUGAACAAGCCAUUAGAAUUUCAUUACAACCACGAUCGAAGUUCAAGGUCGGUUGGCCGAAGGUGUCGAUUGAAGUUCGAAAAGUUGAUCCUGACUGUCCAAAUAAAGAUUUAACGGCUGAGAUUCAAUCAGAAUGACUAGAUCAGAAGUAUCAAAUUCUGUAACGACUCUAAUCUACUUUUGGCUUAUAAAUACAAUUUUGGGGGUUGUUGGUAAUAUAUUGAAGUGCCAUAUAUUUUUAAAAUCACUUGUAUUCAAUACUUCAAUCCCUUUAUCAUUUACUUAUGAGUUUUGAUUUGUGAGAGUUAGAUCACUCUAGACAAAAGAAAGUUUCAUUAUAAUUAUCCUUGUUCUAGAAUUGGUUAGAUAAGAGUUACUUUAAUUGGAAAAAUCAAUAUAAGUUCUAGUGUUUGUAAAGGUUGUGAAGAUCAAUAUAGUUCCCAAGAGAUGGAGUCUCUUGAACACUAGAAGAGUUCUAGUGUUUGUAAAGGUUGUGAAGUACCCGCAAACUUGAAGAUAGUAAAUUUUCAAGGAGAAUCUUGAAGAGUAGACGUAAAUCGAGAUUUGUCAGACCACUAUAAAUCUACGUUCCAAUCGAGUUUUAAAAAACAAUUAUAACUAAACAACGUAUAUUGCAAAUAACUAAACAUCUUCUAUUGUAGAGCACAACUUAUGUAAAACCUUGAUAAUUCAAACAUAAAAAUAAGCUUUUUAAGAUGUUCUUGACCCACAAAUAAAAAGCAAAAUUUGUGACGAGCUUUCUAAAACAUGAAAAAGCGAAAACUGCAACCACCAAAAUUGUGGGCAAUACUCCGAGGAUUCUUAGGGCAAGUAUUUGACGCUGACCUGGAACACAUGUCUCGCUCUUUGAUUAAAGCAUAUGCUCAAAAUCACAUUUUUAAAGAUAAAAUCACGCUUAUUUUCAUUAUUUUACGAAUAAAAAGUUUUAAUACAUCAUUACUGCACUGUCAACACAAUUGUGAUUGGAGAGGGAAAUUUCAUUGUUUUCACCAAGUCCAAGUCUACUACUGUUGAGUUGUAAACAAAUCCAUAGUAUCAAGACCAAACCCCCCCAGUUCCCAAAUCAAAACACUUGGCCUUGAAAUAUGUUAAAUCAACAAAUUUUUUUCCAUGCAAAGUAAGUAGUGCGUUUUGUGGAGGUGCUGGUGAGAUGAGUUAAGGGUAUUUUUUUUAACGACCUAGUUCCUUUAAAGUUGGAAUUUGGAUUGCUCCAGUGCAAUUCAAAUUUUUUGAGUUCACUUUGGGCUAAGUUUGAUCAUUCAAAAUGUUUAUAUUGUAAACUCUAAUGUCAAGAUCAGUAUUACAAAAGAUGCGUUGAUCGAAACACAAUCUAGAAUCCGUUUAUUACUGUCUCAUAUUCGAAACUUCUGAAGUGUCAUCAAUUUUUAAUUUGGGGUUUAAAUCCAUUGUUAAUGGACAGUGAGAUUAAUUCUUUAAAUUAGUGGGUCCUGAGACAGAUACCGAAUUAUUAAAAAUAGUAUAUUUGUGGAAAAUAUUAUACAAUUAAUUAUUAGGAACGAAAGAGAUUAGGAGCUUUUAGUCCCUGCUCUUUUACUCCUACUAUCCAUGCCUUCAAAACAAAUGAAUGUGUGUAUGUUUUUAUCACUUCAAUCCAUUCCUAACAACCCCAAGGGUUAAUUUUAAAAGUUCCAAAUUGGAUAGAGACGUUGCAUCAUUAAUUGCACUAAAAAGAACCGUUCUGAUUUGAUUUCAGUCAUUGGAUCUGAGAUUUUGAUAUGCUAGAGUGAAAUUUAAAAGUCGGUCGUCGUACUUUCUAAAACUUUGGUUGACCGAACUUUAACUUCGGUCAUGUUUGAACUGAAUCUCUAAGUGGCUAAGUUAAUUGCUCUAUUUUACUUUCCUGAACUUCGAUCGUCCCUAAUUUGGACUUUAGACUUCGGUCAACUAAAUUUUAAGUUCGGUCGUUUUUGUACUGCAUUUUCAGGGGUUUGCUUAGAUACUCUGCUUAGAUACUCUGCUUCAUCUUUUGAAUUUGGCUUCUACCUUAAAGAUUCGGCUGUGCUCUGAACUUUGGUCGUGUACUUCUGAAUGUUCGGUCGACCAUUAAGUUGGAUUGUCAUUAGCUUGUUUUUCCAGAGAGCUUUUACUUACAUUAUUAAUUGAGAGUUCCUAGCAUUCGGCUGUGCUUUGGGACUCAGUUCUUGAACUUUGGUCGAUCCUUCUUGGACUUCGGUCGCCUCUGACUGAGUUUCUGAGAGCAUACUCUGUUCUUAACAAUAAUCUUUGUUUUGCUUGUGUUAGCAUUCGACGUUCAAACUCUUUUAGAUCUACCCAAGUCUAUUUCUAAGACCACCCUUUAUUUUUCUUUUUAUCGAUGAUUUUCAAACGCAACUUAGUUUAAUCCUUUGUAAUCAUCAAAAUUAAUUACUUUAUUUAAUAAAUAUAAUUUAUUUGUAAAAGAAAAGUGUAAUUUUUUUGAUGGUGUCAAUUGACCCCACGACCAUUGUGACAUAUACCCCGAGGAUUCUUACGGUAAGUAUUUUAGGUGACGGAACACAUGUCUCAGUCUUUGAGUAAAGCAUACGCUCAAAAUCACAAUUUUUAAAGAUAUUCCACAUAUUUUUCAUUAUUUCACCAAUAAAAUAGUAUCAAUACAUCACUACUGUCAGCACUAUUGUGGUUGGAGAGAGAAAUUUCAUUAUUUUAUCAAGUCCAAGUCCAAGUCCAAGUCCAAGUCCAAGUCCACUCCUGCUGAGUUGUAAACAAAUACAUAGUGGCUCAAGACCAAACCCCACAGUUUCCAAAUCAAAACACUUUGGCUUUGAAAUAUGUUAAAUCAACAAUUUUUUUCCAUGCAAAAUAGUUACUGUGGUUUUGUGGAGGUUGUUGGUGCAUGAGUUAUGGAUAUUUUUUUAACGACCUAGUUUCUUUGAAGUUGGAAUUUGGAUUGCACAAGUGCAAUUCAAGUUUUUUGAGUUCACUUUUGGACCCUGUUUGAUCAUUUAAAAUAUUUAUAUUGUAGACUCUGAUGCCAAGAUCAGUAUUAAAAAAAGACCACGUUGAUCGAAUAAAUUUAGAAUCCGUUCAUUAAUAUCCCGGAUUCGAAACUUCUUAGGUGUUACUAAUUCUUAAUUUGGGUUCAAACCCACCGUUAAUGGACAGGAGAUUAAUUUUCUAGAUUAGUGGGUCUUGAAUCAAAUACCGAGUUAUCAAAAAUACUAUAUUGUGGAAACUAUUAGUACAAUUAAUUUGUUAGGAAUGUAAGAGAUAGGAGCUUUUAGUCCCUGCUCUUUUUGGCCUACUAUCCCUUUCCUUGCAAAACAUAUGUAGUGUAUCCCAUCUUUAAAAUUUUAGAACUCAGUAAUUUUCUUGUAAGUUGUAACUCAUUAGUAUCCACAAGAAAUAUCAAAAAUAGUCACCUCUCCGCCGUAAAAACUCUUUGCCACGGAAGGACUAGGUUGGCAAUUGGUGGGGUUGCAAUAACUUUUUGCGUUGACAUCAGACCAUGGCAAACACUGUUGCUACACUUUUUCAACUAAUAAUCCCAAGGCAAAAAAUAACAGUAUAAAUUGUUACUCUAAAACAUUAAUCCCUCAUGGCUUAUAAAUUUUCAACAUGGUCUAGUCAAAUCCAUAUUACUAUUAAAACGAAAGAUGUUUGUCGACUUUUCAAUUCCCAAAAUGCCCUUGGUUCAAUAAAAAAAGGAAUAUUGAAGUUGUGAUUUUGUUUUUGAGGAAAAAAAAAAACUUACUCUCACUUAGACACGUAAAACCAAGCCUUUUAUUUUACUCCUCCAGAAUUCAUUCUAUUCAUUCCAGCCAUAACAGACAACGCUUCGGUAAUCCUAUCAACUCCAUUGUGUCUUCUUCAAUUGCCCAAUAGCUUCUUCUUCACUCUUAUCUUCGAAAGAAACUUUCCCUUGAUUGUUUAUGCUAUCUAACCUAAAUCAUUCAGAGAGCAGGAGAGGUGGAAAUAAUAGCAGCUUUCUAAAUGAACCCUAUUAUUUAGGAGAUGUCUUUCUACUUGGGAAGUGGAGCAAACAUAGUCUACUUCAAAUGAAAAUUGAGGAGUGGAUUCCGGUUACGGAUAAGAAUGAUUCUCUCAAAUUGAAAUGUUAAAGGAUGCAUAUAAUCAUAAUAUUAAGUCUGCCUUGGUGUCAAAUUGUGAUAUUUAGUAAGUUAAAAAGAGGAUAUUCUUAUUCAAGGGAGGAAUAAUGAUGGGGAUGUCUUUUCAUCUCUAGAUCAGAAGAAUAUACAACACAUUUACAUCUAUAUUAUGAAUCUCCUCUCUAUCCCAACUUUAAAAUCUUCCAGAUAUAUUAAGAAAGCAUCCCUAAUAAACUUGGCAUGGUCCAAAACGUGUAGCAUUAAACCUUAUCAUGUCCCUCUCUUCAUCUUUAAAAUCUUCAAGAUAUUUCAAAAAAACAUCCCUAAUGAACUUGACAGCGGUCCCAAGUCGUGUAGCAUUAAAUCCAUUGUUUGUCCCUCACUACAAUCUUUAAAAUCUUCAAGAUAUUUCAAGGAAACAUCCCUAAUAAACUUGACAAUGAUCCAAAGUUGUGUAGCAUUCUCUCCCAUCUUUAAAAUCGUCAAGAUAUUUUAUAGAAACAUCCCUAAUAAACUUGAUUGUGAUUCAAAGUAGCGUGUUAUGUCCCUCUCUUUUAAAGUAUAAUUUAUUAUUUAUUUUAUUAAUUAAUUCCAGAUAUCAAGUCAACACAUGGUAGGCUUUUAAAAUUACAUUUUGUGGCUGAAGAUGGUACCUGUCAUUCAAAAUAUUGACCCUUGCCGAGGUUGGUGAAUUGACUGCAAGCGGAGGACAAUUACACACAUUGUCUUGGCCUUGGAUAUUUCUCAUCUAAACUAAAAAUUUGGACUGUAAAUGGUGGCAGUUGACAAAAUGGGCCCAUCAAUGGAUGAGUACUAACAAAAGAAUUUAUUAAAAACCGAAAGAUCUCUUAAAAAAGCCAAAAUUUGGAGACUUGUUAGACAUAUAAUUUGGGGCCAAUUUUGAACAAAAACAAAUGAGGAAUUCAUACGUCUUUUUAACCGGAUCCAAAUUCGAAUAUGCUAUCUAUGUGAGAUGAUUAACAUCCGAUAUUUUUUUUAUUCAAAACGAAUAAAGAGUGAAUGAAAAAUUGACACCAAAAUUCACUAGUUGAAUAUUAGGUGAAGAAUGGUUAAAAAAUUGUUCCGCAUUGGUCAUUUAUGAGACCUUUAGUGGGUUUACAGGCUUCUCCUUGAACUUGGGCUUGGACUAAGGGGCACCACGGUUCUCUGGAGGAGGGAGGACCUAGCACCUUAUGUGUUGACCUUUUCAAAAGUUUUUAUUUUUCAGCACCUUAUUAUUUUUUAUAUAUGAUUUUAAAGCGGUUCAAAAGUUUCUUAUAGUUGUGGUAAUUGGGUCCUUUCAUUACGUAGUUUCGGCCAUAUGCUACGUAUAUGGGCAGUCAAAUGAGCAAAAACUUUCAUUAACAAAUUAAACGAUUGCUCUGAAGAGUUACAAAGGAGAAUGUGUGAAGAACUUUCUCUCCAAAGCCCCACCAAAAUCAAAUAUAAAUUUUCUCCAAACCUUAACUAGAAUCAAACCAAAAACUUUGUCAAACAAAAGGAUUAAAGAUUCACCAAAGUCCUCAAUUGUGGCACCAAAGGAACUACAAAGUUCGUCCAAAUACUAAGGGUCAACCCAGUCCCCUAUAGGGGGCUUCAAAGGAACUAUGAAGUUUAACAAUAUGAGAGUCUUUCCAAAUUUAUAACUAUGGAAUCCCUCAUAAAAAGAUAGUGUAUGGAAAUCUAUUACUUUCUUGUAGUGAUUUCUUUUAUUUUACUUUUUGAUUUAUUUCUAAAAUAUGCAGGGUUCCAUUUUAAGAGUUCGCUUAGGAAAGCUUAGGGCCGGCCCCUGAUUAGAUUCAUGUAUAAGUCAGUAAAUAAAGAGAUUUCAUGCACUGUUGAUUCACUGUGAAAACAAAUUGAAGUAUUUUAUUUGUUCAGCGUACAAUCACUGUAUUUCAAGAGACAGACAUCUAAAACAGUAAACACAGUGAUGAAGGAAAAUUCUGCAUUCAAGGACAUAGUGUUAAACACGAGCCUUGAUUAUUCUCCUUCGAAUUGCUCAUUGCAGAUUCUACAAUUUUUUUAUACAAAGCAUAUCUUCUUCUGCAAUCAGUCUUUUGUGUUCAAACCACAGGAUCUGUUUCUGAUUUUGUCUCUAAAAGUAAUUGUUGUUUCCAAAACAGUUUUGGGUUAUGUUUAUGCAAAAUCAGAGUUUUUAAAUAAUUUAGUUUCUGCAAAUUAAAUCUGUUUCUAUAAUUAUAUAUAUCCAAAUGUAUGGAAUGAUUUUUCCUUUUAGCUCCCAUUCAUAUUGAUACUAGCGGAGGUACUAGACCUCAUAGGAAUCAAACUAAGUAAUUGUGGGGUUGUUGUUAUACGAAAGGAGGAGAGGAAAUCGAGGAUAGACACCCGCGGUGGUCCUAGAAGCUGCGUGGGUGGCUCUGGCCUCCUGAGCGACUGACUUGUGAUGCC
rnacentral:lncRNA from 1 species